UUUGGAUCUAGUGCCUUCUGUGUGUGCCAGGCUCUGUGCCAGGCUCUAAGGCUACCGUAGGGAACAGGACAGACAUGGCACCUGCCCCAGGGGAUGCAGUCUACAGUGAAACAUACAAAGAAAACAAACCCAAAGCACUGCAGAUUGUGGAGAAGCGCUGAGGAGGACAUAAACAGGAGUCCUCCUGCCUGGAGGGGAGGAGCCCACUCACUGCUGCUCCAUCCUAUGUCUCCAUUUGGACCCUUCUGCCCCAUCACCUCCUAAAAUUUUGCGUGUCCUUCCAGCCUCCAUAUCCUCUCUCCAGAUUACAUUGAUGCUUUCAUUCUCUCACUCAACAAUUACUGAGCUACUAUGUGCAGGCUCUGAGCCAGAUGUCAGGGUCCAGCAGAGAGUAUAAUGAAGUCGCUACCUUCUCUGGCCUUGUGGCCCACUUAGGGGACACUCAGCUCACAGACACCAGACGUAUAAUGCCAGGUGAUGACUUGGCGUCCUGAAAGGGAAGCAGUAGUAUACUCGGAUUGGGUAAUUUGAGGAAGGUUUAGUAAAGGGAUCACCUCCCAAGGUGUGAGCAAGGUAUAGGAAAGGUAGUGUGUACCUGGGUGAGGGACAGGGGGCAGAGGGAGCAGUUACCAGAACCUGGAGAGGGGCCCACAUGAGAACCUUCUGCCAAGAGCUGAGCCCCUGGGUCACCGAGGGGCCAGUGAGCAGGCAGCCACCCUGCAGGGAGAGAGCCAGCCCAGGACUUAGGACUCUCACCCCACUUUCCUCCCUUCCACCUUCUGCUAUCCUGUCUCUUCUCUGCUGAACAGAAGCCGGAAGCCAGAGGCCACAGGGCCUGUCGAUGCAGGCAGGACGGGCCAGCCUCCCAGGGCACAGUGCAGGGUGGAGAAGGUGGAGAGUGAGUGAGCUGGAGGGAAAGGUGGGAGGAGCUGGGUGCCGAAGGGAUUGCUGUUUUGGAAAGGAGGGGAAGGAAAGCUGUCUUUGAGCAGAGCCUCGAAUGCACUGAUGGGGCCAGCUGUGUGGAAAAGCACUCCAGGGACAGGGAAAAGCAAGCGCACAAGCUCUGAGGCAGGAAUGUGUGCGCCUCUCGACAGCGAGGGGCCACGUGCCUGGAGGCUGGUGGGGGAGGGGUCAGGGAGGAGCAGGGGCCACUGUGCAAACCCCCUGGGCCCGUGGAAGGGCCGUGGGUGUUCUUCUGAGUGAGAUGGGCAGCAGGGGAGUGACAGGAGUCAUCUUGUUGAAAGAUCAUUCCGGCUGCCCGGUGAUAUUCUGGCUGCAGGGGCGUGAGAAACACGAUGUCUCUUCAGUUAGUUUUGCGUAGUUUGGCAUUGGGCAAACAUGAUUCUACUAGGGGAACAGCCAACCACCCCAAAAUCGGUGGGAAGUUAGUUCUGGCCCCAAGAGAGCCAACAAGGAAUGACUGCUCCCUGCCGCAGGAGCCCUGGUGCAAGGGGAGAGGAGGAAACACAAACCCACAGAUAACUCCCUUCCCCGCGGCGUUUGCCGUGUAGUCAGGGAGACAGAUCAACACAGGAACCUGUUUAACACCACUUACCCAGACUGAGGAAGAACUGUCAAUAGAGGGUUGGACUGGAGGAUUUAAGGGCUGAAGCUGGUGCUGAGAUCCAAAUGGGGUGGGGUUAGCAAGUGAAGCUUCUGGAAGAGGCUCGUACUGAAACAAGUUUUUAGUUCUCUGACCAUCCACUGGCAGCGCCCAGGUGCAAGUGGGGGGCAGCUGGCCUCAGGGUGCAGAUUUCCGGUGGACACUCUCCCUCCUGGACAAAAAGGCAAGGUAUUUUCCCUCCUCUUGGAGCCAGUGGCUUACCCUCAUCUCCAUUUUAUUACGAGCUUUUCUCUUCCUUCUUUACUAAAAAGUUACUUAAUUUUGAAUAGAUAAUAUAUGUGCACAGUAUAAAAUUGAAAAGCUAAAAAAAGAUAUAAAUGAUAACUAAGCAUCUCCCUCCUCCCCUGUUUCCCAGAAUCCCCGACUCUUUCCCAGAGGUUGCCAGUAUGUUGGUAUCAAUAUUAGCUUAUGUAUUCUUCUGGAAACAGUCUGUGCAUCAAAUGCUAGUGUUUGUAUGUACUUUCUCUCAUUUUUACACAAUGGCAGAUACUGUAUAAACUAUCCAUGUUUUUUUUCCCACUUCCCAGUGUAACUUUUGGCAAUGGUUCCAUGUCAAUAAUAAAAAGCUUCUUCGUUCUGUCUCCUGGCUGCCCGGUGUUCCGUUGCAUGGCUCUCCC
ensembl:lncRNA